AGAGUUUGAUCAUGGCUCAGAACGAACGUUGGCGGCGUGGUUUAGGCAUGCAAGUCGAACGAGAAAGCUUCCUUCGGGAAGUGAGUAAAGUGGCGAACGGGAGAGUAACGCGUGGGAAACCUGCCCUUCAGCGGGGGACAACAUCUCUAACGAGGUGCUAAUACCGCAUACGACCCAAGCAUCGCAUGGUGCAUGGGUGAAAGAUGGCCUCUACUUGUAAGCUGUCACUGAAGGAUGGUCCCGCGUCCCAUUAGCUUGUUGGUGGGGUAAUGGCCUACCAAGGCGACGAUGGUUAGCUGGUCUGAGAGGAUGAUCAGCCACACUGGAACUGAAACACGGUCCAGACUCCUACGGGAGGCAGC
rnacentral:rRNA from 1 species